UACGUAGGGGGCUAGCGUUGUCCGGAAUCAUUGGGCGUAAAGAGCGUGUAGGCGGUCCGGUAAGUCCGCUGUGAAAGUCGGGGGCUCAACCCUCGGAUGCCGGUGGAUACUGUCGGGCUCGAGUCCGGAAGAGGAGUGUGGAAUUCCUGGUGUAGCGGUGAAAUGCGCAGAUAUCAGGAGGAACACCAAUGGCGAAGGCAGCACUCUGGGACGUGACUGACGCUGAGACGCGAAAGCGUGGGGAGCAAACAGG
rnacentral:rRNA from 1 species